CUCGGAGUUUGAUCCUGGCUCAGGAUGAACGCUAGCGGCAGGCUUAACACAUGCAAGUCGAGGGGUAGAAGCAGCUUGCUGCUUUGAGACCGGCGCACGGGUGCGUAACGCGUAUGCAAUCUACCUUUUACAGAGGGAUAGCCCAGAGAAAUUUGGAUUAAUACCUCAUAGUAUGUGAGAAUCGCAUGGUUUUCACAUUAAAGUUCCAACGGUAAAAGAUGAGCAUGCGUCCUAUUAGCUAGAUGGUAAGGUAACGGCUUACCAUGGCUACGAUAGGUAGGGGGCCUGAGAGGGUGGUCCCCCGACACUGGGUACUGAGACACGGACCAGACUCCUACGGGG
rnacentral:rRNA from 1 species